rnacentral:tRNA from 1 species
UCCAUGGUGGCUCAGAGAUUAAAGCAUCUGCAUGCAAUGCAGAAGAUCUGGGUUCAAUCCCUGGGUCAGGAA